GAUGAACGCUAGCUACAGGCUUAACACAUGCAAGUCGAGGGGAAACGACAUUGGAAGCUUGCUUCCGAUGGGCGUCGACCGGCGCACGGGUGAGUAACGCGUAUCCAACCUGCCCACCACUUGGGGAUAACCUUGCGAAAGUAAGACUAAUACCCAAUGACGUCCAUAGAAGACAUCUGAAGUGGAUUAAAGAUUUAUCGGUGAUGGAUGGGAUGCGUCUGAUUAGCUUGUUGGCGGGGUAACGGCCCACCAAGGCAACGAUCAGUAGGGGUUCUGAGAGGAAGGUCCCCCANAUUGGAACUGAGACACGGUCCAAAACUCCUAACGGGAGCAGCAGUGAGGAAUAUUGGUCAAAUGGGCGCGAG
rnacentral:rRNA from 1 species